GCCAGGUGUGGUGGUGCAUGCCUGUAGUCCCAGCAAAUCGGGAGGCUGAGGUGGGAGGAUCCCUUGAGCCCAGGAGGUCGAGGCUGCAGUGAGCUGAGAUUGAGCCACUGCACACUAGCCUGGGCAACAGAGUGAGACCCUGUCUCAA
ensembl:misc_RNA Metazoa_SRP Metazoan signal recognition particle RNA